rnacentral:rRNA from 1 species
UUUGGUUAAGUUAGAAAGGGCGCACGGUGGAUGCCUUGACACUAGGAGUCGAUGAAGGACGGGACUAACGCCGAUAUGCUUCGGGGAGCUGUAAGUAAGCUUUGAUCCGAAGAUUUCCGAAUGGGGAAACCCACCAUACGUAAUGGUAUGGUAUCCUUACCUGAAUACAUAGGGUAAGGAAGACAGACCCAGGGAACUGAAACAUCUAAGUACCUGGAGGAAGAGAAAGCAAAUGCGAUUUCCUGAGUAGCGGCGAGCGAAACGGAACAUAGCCCAAACCAAGAGGCUUGCCUCUUGGGGUUGUAGGACAUUCUAUACGGAGUUACAAAGGAACGAGGUAGACGAAGCGACCUGGAAAGGUCCGUCGUAGAGGGUAACAACCCCGUAGUCGAAACUUCGUUCUCUCUUGAAUGUAUCCUGAGUACGGCGGAACACGUGAAAUUCCGUCGGAAUCUGGGAGGACCAUCUCCCAAGGCUAAAUACUCCCUAGUGAUCGAUAGUGAACCAGUACCGUGAGGGAAAGGUGAAAAGCACCCCGGAAGGGGAGUGAAAGAGAUCCUGAAACCGUGUGCCUACAAAUAGUCAGAGCCCGUUAACGGGUGAUGGCGUGCCUUUUGUAGAAUGAACCGGCGAGUUACGAUCCCGUGCGAGGUUAAGCUGAAGAGGCGGAGCCGCAGCGAAAGCGAGUCUGAAUAGGGCGUUUAGUACGUGGUCGUAGACCCGAAACCAGGUGAUCUACCCAUGUCCAGGGUGAAGUUCAGGUAACACUGAAUGGAGGCCCGAACCCACGCACGUUGAAAAGUGCGGGGAUGAGGUGUGGGUAGCGGAGAAAUUCCAAUCGAACCUGGAGAUAGCUGGUUCUCCCCGAAAUAGCUUUAGGGCUAGCCUUAAGUGUAAGAGUCUUGGAGGUAGAGCACUGAUUGGACUAGGGGUCCUCAUCGGAUUACCGAAUUCAGUCAAACUCCGAAUGCCAAUGACUUAUCCUUAGGAGUCAGACUGCGAGUGAUAAGAUCCGUAGUCAAAAGGGAAACAGCCCAGACCGCCAGCUAAGGUCCCAAAGUGUGUAUUAAGUGGAAAAGGAUGUGGAGUUGCUUAGACAACUAGGAUGUUGGCUUAGAAGCAGCCACCAUUUAAAGAGUGCGUAAUAGCUCACUAGUCGAGUGACUCUGCGCCGAAAAUGUACCGGGGCUAAAUACACCACCGAAGCUGCGGAUUGAUACCAAUGGUAUCAGUGGUAGGGGAGCGUUCUAAGGACAGUGAAGUCAGACCGGAAGGACUGGUGGAGUGCUUAGAAGUGAGAAUGCCGGUAUGAGUAGCGAAAGACGGGUGAGAAUCCCGUCCACCGAAUGCCUAAGGUUUCCUGAGGAAGGCUCGUCCGCUCAGGGUUAGUCAGGACCUAAGCCGAGGCCGACAGGCGUAGGCGAUGGACAACAGGUUGAUAUUCCUGUACCACCUCUUUAUCGUUUGAGCAAUGGAGGGACGCAGAAGGAUAGAAGAAGCGUGCGAUUGGUUGUGCACGUCCAAGCAGUUAGGCUGAUAAGUAGGCAAAUCCGCUUAUCGUGAAGGCUGAGCUGUGAUGGGGAAGCUCCUUAUGGAGCGAAGUCUUUGAUUCCCCGCUGCCAAGAAAAGCUUCUAGCGAGAUAAAAGGUGCCUGUACCGCAAACCGACACAGGUAGGCGAGGAGAGAAUCCUAAGGUGUGCGAGAGAACUCUGGUUAAGGAACUCGGCAAAAUGACCCCGUAACUUCGGGAGAAGGGGUGCUUUCUUAACGGAAAGCCGCAGUGAAUAGGCCCAAGCGACUGUUUAGCAAAAACACAGCUCUCUGCGAAGCCGUAAGGCGAAGUAUAGGGGGUGACACCUGCCCGGUGCUGGAAGGUUAAGGAGAGGGGUUAGCGUAAGCGAAGCUCUGAACUGAAGCCCCAGUAAACGGCGGCCGUAACUAUAACGGUCCUAAGGUAGCGAAAUUCCUUGUCGGGUAAGUUCCGACCCGCACGAAAGGUGUAACGAUUUGGGCACUGUCUCAACCAGAGACUCGGUGAAAUUAUAGUACCUGUGAAGAUGCAGGUUACCCGCGACAGGACGGAAAGACCCCGUGGAGCUUUACUGUAGCCUGAUAUUGAAUUUUGGUACAGUUUGUACAGGAUAGGCGGGAGCCUUUGAAACCGGAGCGCUAGCUUCGGUGGAGGCGCUGGUGGGAUACCGCCCUGACUGUAUUGAAAUUCUAACCUACGGGUCUUAUCGACCCGGGAGACAGUGUCAGGUGGGCAGUUUGACUGGGGCGGUCGCCUCCUAAAGUGUAACGGAGGCGCCCAAAGGUUCCCUCAGAAUGGUUGGAAAUCAUUCGUAGAGUGCAAAGGCAUAAGGGAGCUUGACUGCGAGACCUACAAGUCGAGCAGGGACGAAAGUCGGGCUUAGUGAUCCGGUGGUUCCGCAUGGAAGGGCCAUCGCUCAACGGAUAAAAGCUACCCCGGGGAUAACAGGCUUAUCUCCCCCAAGAGUCCACAUCGACGGGGAGGUUUGGCACCUCGAUGUCGGCUCAUCGCAUCCUGGGGCUGUAGUCGGUCCCAAGGGUUGGGCUGUUCGCCCAUUAAAGCGGUACGCGAGCUGGGUUCAGAACGUCGUGAGACAGUUCGGUCCCUAUCCGUCGUGGGCGUAGGAAAUUUGAGAGGAGCUGUCCUUAGUACGAGAGGACCGGGAUGGACGCACCGCUGGUGUACCAGUUGUUCUGCCAAGGGCAUAGCUGGGUAGCUAUGUGCGGAAGGGAUAAGUGCUGAAAGCAUCUAAGCAUGAAGCCCCCCUCAAGAUGAGAUUUCCCAUAGCGUAAGCUAGUAAGAUCCCUGAAAGAUGAUCAGGUUGAUAGGUUCGAGGUGGAAGCAUGGUGACAUGUGGAGCUGACGAAUACUAAUAGAUCGAGG